AGCUCUGUAAGCGUAUAUCAAAGUUGUUGCAGUUAAAACGCUCGUAGUCGAACGUAGGCGCUUGGUGCGGGACCUCCUCGCGGAUGGUUUUGCGCUGGGCGCCUUUGUGGAGGGGGGCUUGGUGGUGCUUUAUUGCCUCGCCAAGUUCCUGCCACCGUUUACUGUGAAAAAAUUAAGGUGUUCAAAGCGGGCGUUUGCCAUGAAUACAUUAGCAUGGAAUAAUAGAAUAGGACCUGGUCUUAUUUUGUUGGUUUGUAUAAUUUCAGGUAAUGAUUAACAGGGACGGUUGGGGGCAUUUGUAUUCCGAGGCGAGAGGUGAAAUUCUUAGACCCUCGGAAGACAAACAGCUGCGAAAGCGUUUGCCAAGGACGUUUUCAUUGAUCAAGAACGAAAGUACGCA
rnacentral:rRNA from 1 species